GGUCGCGCCUGCCCAGUGACGUCUGUUAAACGGCCGCAGUAUUUUGACUGUGCUAAGGUAGCGUAAUCACUUGUCUUUUAAAUGGAGACCUGUAUGAAAGGUAUGACGAGGGCUUAACUGUCUCCUCUUUCUGGCCAAUGAAAUUGAUCUCCCCGUGCAGAAGCGGGGAUUAAAACAUAAGACGAGAAGACCCUAUGGAGCUUUAGGCAACAGCGCAGACCAUGUCAAAAACGCCUGUCAAGCUACGAACAAAUGGCUCCUGUCAAGUGCCUUAGGUUGGGGCGACCCUGGGGAAAACAAAACCCCCACGCGGAAAUGGAAGCACAACCCUCAAUUUACUUAACCAUGCUCCUCUAAACCAGAGCCACCGCUCUAACAAUCGGAAUUUCCGACCAGUCUGAUCCGGGCAACCGAUCAACGGACUAAGUUACCCUAGGGAUAACAGCGCAAUCCCCUUCAAGAGUCCUUAUCGCCAAGGGGGUUUACGACCUCGAUGUUGGAUCAGNACAUCCUAAUGGUGCAGCCGCUAUUGAGGGUUCGUUUGUUCAANGA
rnacentral:rRNA from 1 species